rnacentral:rRNA from 1 species
GUGGCUAAGACAUGCAAGUCGUACGGGUGUAGCAAUACAUCAGUGGCGAACGGGUGAGUAAUGUAUCGCUAACGUGCCCUUCGGUUUGGGAUAGCCGUCCGAAAGGACGGGUAAUACCAGUUAAGACCACAAUCCCGCAUGGGAUGGUGCUCAAAGGGAAACCGCCGAAGGAGCGGGCGAUAUCGUAUCAGCUAGUUGGUGAGGUAACGGCUCACCAAGGCGACGACGCGUAGCCGGGCUGAGAGGUCGGCCGGCCACAUUGGGACUGAGACACUGCCCAG